UCUAAAAAUAAAAAUCAUAAACAAAAUAUUGGAUUCCAAAUACCUUAAAUUCCAACCUUCUUUCUAUUUAAAAUAGAGAUCUCAAUUACAAUCAUUAUGCUCUAUGUUAAGAAUCCACUUCAGGGAUGGCAUUUUUAUAUAGAAAAAAAAAAUCUUCAAAACCCCCUUCUAAAAUCCAUCUCCUAGCUUGAUAAAUAACUGAAAAAGAAAGGCAAAAGCAAACAAGAGCAAUAAUUUGAAUUUUUUGCAGAGAUUAAGAGC
rnacentral:lncRNA from 1 species